rnacentral:rRNA from 1 species
AGACGCACUCAGAGUUUGAUCAUGGCUCAGAUUGAACGCUGGCGGCAUGCCUUACACAUGCAAGUCGAACGGCAGCACGGGAGCAAUCCUGGUGGCGAGUGGCGAACGGGUGAGUAAUACAUCGGAACGUGUCCUGUAGUGGGGGAUAGCCCGGCGAAAGCCGGAUUAAUACCGCAUACGCUCUACGGAGGAAAGGGGGGAUGCUUAGGACCUCUCGCUACAGGGGCGGCCGAUGGCAGAUUAGCUAGUUGGUGGGGUAAAGGCCUACCAAGGCGACGAUCUGUAGCUGGUCUGAGAGGACGACCAGCCACACUGGGACUGAGACACGGCCCAGACUCCUACGGGAGGCAGCAGUGGGGAAUUUUGGACAAUGGGCGCAAGCCUGAUCCAGCAAUGCCGCGUGUGUGAAGAAGGCCUUCGGGUUG